rnacentral:rRNA from 1 species
UACGUAGGGGGCAAGCGUUGUCCGGAUUUAUUGGGCGUAAAGAGCGUGUAGGCGGCCAGAUAGGUCGGUUGUGAAAACUGGAGGCUCAACCUCCAGAGGUCGACCGAAACCAUUCGGCUAGAGUCCGGAAGAGGAGAAUGGAAUUCCUGGUGUAGCGGUGAAAUGCGCAGAUAUCAGGAAGAACACCCGUGGCGAAGGCGGUUCUCUGGGACGGUACUGACGCUGAGACGCGAAAGCGUGGGGAGCGAAC